UGGGGAAUUUUGGACAAUGGGCGAAAGCCUGAUCCAGCAAUGCCGCGUGUGUGAAGAAGGCCUUCGGGUUGUAAAGCACUUUUGUCCGGAAAGAAAUCCUUGGCUCUAAUACAGUCGGGGGAUGACGGUACCGGAAGAAUAAGCACCGGCUAACUACGUGCCAGCAGCCGCGGUAAUACGUAGGGUGCAAGCGUUAAUCGGAAUUACUGGGCGUAAAGCGUGCGCAGGCGGUUUGCUAAGACCGAUGUGAAAUCCCCGGGCUCAACCUGGGAACUGCAUUGGUGACUGGCAGGCUAGAGUAUGGCAGAGGGGGGUAGAAUUCCACGUGUAGCAGUGAAAUGCGUAGAGAUGUGGAGGAAUACCGAUGGCGAAGGCAGCCCCCUGGGCCAAUACUGACGCUCAUGCACGAAAGCGUGGGGAGCAAAACAGGAUUAGAUACCCUGGUAGCCCACGCCCUAAACGAUGUCAACUGUUGUUGGGGAUUCAUUUCCUUAGUAACGUAGCUAACGCGUGAAGUUGACCGCCUGGGGAGUACGGUCGCAAGAUUAAAACUCAAAGGAAUUGACGGGGUCAUAGCUGUUUCCU
rnacentral:rRNA from 1 species